AAAAAGUUUAAAUCAAAUAUUUGUUGUGUAGACUGUGUGUAUAUAUAUACACAAAUUUGUGUGUAUAUAAAUGUGUAUAUAUAUAUACGUAUUUGUAUGUGGGUGUGUGUAUGUAAAUGUAAUUUACGGGGUAUUGUAGUGGAAUAUCUUUUCACCAGAUUUCCCAAACCGCAUUAACAACCUAACACCACACCAAAGGACAUUAAUGUCAGUCCACAGGAUGUUUCAGAUGAUUCCCUUCCCAAAAGACUCAUUAGCUAUUGUAUUUUUGUCUUUUUUUAUAUUAGCAUUAUUUAUUUAUUUGUUCUGAGAAAGAGAACGUUGAAAGGAUGCACAAGCAUGCCCACAUACACUUAAUGGAGAACUGUUGUACCUUUUCAUUUUAACUAUUUAACGCUGUUUGGAAAUACGCAGUAUACACAUUUUAACACAAAAGUUGUUUGUUAUGAAAUGUGACGUCUUUGACACAUUGGAGAAUGAGGGCCAACAUUUCUGAUGAACAUUUCUAUUUCUAAUGCAGUUCCGUGGAUUUAAGAAAACGUGUCAAUGUAUGUAAAUAAUCGAAAAUUGGGGGUUGGCAAAACACAGGAAUGACAGUGAUCAUAUUAUAUAUAGUAUGUCUAAAAUCCUUGAACAAAAAUGGUCACACUGGAGGCCGAAUUCAAGGCUCAAAUGUAGACAAACAAGUUGACUUAUAAAUGAACUUAAAUGCGUCAUCACAGACCAUUUCUUAAAUAUUUAAGAUUUCGUAUCGUACCUGUUGUUUUUCUGAAACGUCAACCACCAAUAUAAAAUAACUGGGGGGUUUUCUGGGGGUUUUCAAAGUCCCACAAAGAUCCCUCCUAGACUAACAUAUUUUUUGUCGACUUUUGGUCAGUUUACAAACAAAUCUGCUGUUUUCAUCAAGCUGGUCCAGAAUUUUCUUUUUUCUGGCAUGUGCUUUACUGGCAUAAAAAGAUUGGAUAGAAACCUGGUUAGUGACAGAAAGUUAAUUCCCCCCCCCCCCC
ensembl:lncRNA